rnacentral:rRNA from 1 species
UACGGAGGGGGCUAGCGUUGUUCGGAAUUACUGGGCGUAAAGCGCACGUAGGCGGCUAUUCAAGUCAGAGGUGAAAGCCCGGGGCUCAACCCCGGAACUGCCUUUGAAAACUAGAUAGCUUGAAUCACGGAGAGGUGGGUGGAAUUCCGAGUGUAGAGGUGAAAUUCGUAGAUAUUCGGCAAGAACACCAGUGGCGAAGGCGGCCCAACUGGUCCGGUACUGACGCUGAGGUGCGAAAGCGUGGGGAGCAAACAGG